AGAGUUUGAUCAUGGCUCAGAAUCAACGCUGGCGGCGUGCCUAACACAUGCAAGUCGAACGAGAAAGUGGAGCAAUCCAUGAGUAAAGUGGCGACCGGGUGAGUAACACGUGACUAACCUACCCUAAAGUGGGGGAUAACUCCGGGAAACCGGGGCUAAUACCGCAUAACAUCAUCGGGUGUAAAUUUCUGAUGAUCAAAGGAGUAAUCCGCUGAAGGAGGGGGUCGCGGCUGAUUAGCUAGUUGGUGAGGUAACGGCCCACCAAGGCAAAGAUCAGUAUCCGGCCUGAGAGGGCGCACGGACACACUGGAACUGAAACACGGUCCAGACUCCUACGGGAGGCAGCAGUGGGGAAUUUUGCGCAAUGGGGGAAACCCUGACGCAGCAACGCCGCGUGGAGGAUGAAGUCCCUUGGGAUGUAAACUCCUUUCGAUCGGGACGAUUAUGACGGUACCGGAAGAAGAAGCACCGGCUAACUCUGUGCCAGCAGCCGCGGUAAUAC
rnacentral:rRNA from 1 species